GAUGAUGUACCUAUUGCCGAGCUCGAUGUACAGGGUGGCCGUAGACGUGGACGUGGCCGUGGCCGUGGCCGAGGACGUGGUCGAGGACGUCGAGGGAGAGGAAGAUCGAGAGACUGAUUGUAUUUUUUUUAUUUUGAGAAUGCACUUUGUAUAAUAUUAUAUAAUACAUGAUUUAGUUCAUAUUUGUAUAUUUGUAAGUGUUUUGUUUGAUAUUUUUAUCCAGUUGAUUGUAUUUUGUUAUUCCACUCGUGAUGUUGUGUUUCUCGUUUGAAUAUUUCUUAUCGUGAAAAAACUUGCCUCAAACUUGUUGAAAUAGGCGCUAGAAUUUGAGCUCAACCUGGUGCUAGUUGCACUAAAGACGGUGAAUGGUUCACCGUCUUUAGUGUAAACUCCAGAACCCCGAAAAAAUGGCUAAGUCCUGGACUGGGUUCUUUUACACAGAUAAGACGGUGAACUAUUCACCGUCUUUAAUAAGACGGUAAACUAUUAACCGUCUUAUCUGUGUUUUAGCCCAACCACAACUUGGCCAAUUUACUCUGAAGACGGUGAAUAGUUAACCGUCUAAUGAAGACGGUAACCCAUUCACCGUCUUAUCUGUGUUUUAGGCCCCCUCUCAAGGACUUGGCCAAAUUAGGCUGGACUUGGCCAAAUUAGGCUGGGUAGGGCGAUAAGACGGUAAAUUGUUUACCGUCUUUUAGAAGACGGUAAACAGUUAACCGUCUCCUUGUGCCGCGCGGGGAAUUGCUGAGAAGGUGGUAGGGUGCGCGGGGAAUUGCUGAAAAGGCGGCAUGCUUUUUAGGCCCCCUCUCAAGAACUUGGCCAAAUUAGGCUGGCUAGGGAGAUAAGACGGUAAAUUUUGUUUACCGUCUUUUAGAAGACGGUAAACAGUUAACCGUCUUAAAUAGGCAUCUUGUGCCACGCGGGGAAUUGCUGAGAAGGUGGUAGGGUGCGCGGGGAAUUGCUGAAAAGGCGGCAUGCUACGCCUAGAGAAGACGGUUAACGAUUUACCGUCUGAAUAAGACGGUUAACCAUUUACCGUCUUCAAGAGCUAUA
rnacentral:lncRNA from 1 species